rnacentral:rRNA from 1 species
GAAACCGGGGCUAAUACCGGAUGGUUGUUUGAACCGCAUGGUUCAAACAUAAAAGGUGGCUUCGGCUACCACUUACAGAUGGACCCGCGGCGCAUUAGCUAGUUGGUGAGGUAACGGCUCACCAAGGCAACGAUGCGUAGCCGACCUGAGAGGGUGAUCGGCCACACUGGGACUGAGACACGGCCCAGACUCCUACGGGAGGCAGCAGUAGGGAAUCUUCCGCAAUGGACGAAAGUCUGACGGAGCAACGCCGCGUGAGUGAUGAAGGUUUUCGGAUCGUAAAAGCUCUGUUGUUAGGGAAGAACAAGUACCGUUCGAAUAGGGGGGUACCUUGACGGUACCUAACCAGAAAGCCACGGCUAACUACGUGCCAGCAGCCGCGGUAAUACGUAGGUGGCAAGCGUUGUCCGGGAAUUAUUGGGCGUAAAGGGCUCGCAGGCGGGUUUCUUAAGGU